rnacentral:rRNA from 1 species
UACGUAGGGUGCAAGCGUUGUCCGGAAUUAUUGGGCGUAAAGAGCUCGUAGGCGGUCUGUCACGUCUGCUGUGAAAACUCGGGGCUUAACCCCGGGCCUGCAGUGGGUACGGGCAGACUAGAGUGCGGUAGGGGAGACUGGAAUUCCUGGUGUAGCGGUGAAAUGCGCAGAUAUCAGGAGGAACACCGGUGGCGAAGGCGGCAUCCUGGACCGACACUGACGCUGAGGCGCGAAAGCUAGGGUAGCAAACGGG